GUGCGACCUACCAGAGCGUAAUACCAAUGCAAGCUUACAAGGGAUUUGGAGAAACACAGUAGUCCGCCAUGUCAGUUGUCAAGAUUAAAGAUAAGCUUACGUUCGUAGUUAUUGCAAAUUUCGCCCCCUAUUGCCACUCCAUACCCAUAAUGCCUUAUUGCCUGUCAUUAGACCACAUCUCAUCCUCCUCCUAUACAUUUCAAAUCUUUACGUGUUGCCAAAAAAAGUCAGAAACUCCCGAUCUCCGUGUAUUCACUCACGCAUCGCUUCAUUGUGUGUUGUUAUCUUUCUACUUGAAUUCUUGAUAUGCAAGACAGAGAAAACGCGUAGUUAUCCAGACUUGUUAAAAGGGCGCUAUACUGAGCUAUGCAUCUCUAAUCGGGAUCAUGGAAAGGGAUUUUUAAAUAGGUUGGUUUUUGAUUGAAUGUACACCAUUGCUACCACAAAUCACUGUUCAGUUCAAGUUCUUUUUUUAAUAUGGGAAAAUGUUGUGCCUCUUUCACCGUUCAGCCAAACACUUCACAGAGUCAGCCAUUUUGUUGUUGCUUUCAAGUUGGAUCCAUUGACUGGGUUAACCUCAAACCAAUGUGUGACAUUCGGGGUAAUGGGGGCUUGGCGCGUUGUACUUCCAAUUAGUUUUGUAGCCGAAAGCCUCCAUCGCCUCCUAUUGACCUUAUUCCGGAAGUUGCCGUGGGCACCGCCAUUGGGAUUCGGGUUGUAGUAUGAUUUUGCAAGGGGCUGCCGAUUUUGACAGUAAAUAACUUCUAUAGGGACUACAAAGCCGUUUUAAAGCCUCCCAGAGAAUUGGUUACACAAACGUACUUUACAUUACAUUCUGGGAUUCCCGCUUAACCGGAAGCCGCAAAGAAAGCGCGGUUUGGUAGCAGUUAGAGGCGAGAGUGGGCGGGACGGAAUAAGGUCAAUACUUAAGUGCAAUGUUUGAAUCGGAUUAAGCAUUUAUGAUGGUCUGUACCUAAAUCCACAAACCGUUCUCAAGAUUCCAGAGUUAGGAGGCAAAAUCGAUAAAAUACAGAAUUGUGCACUCAUGGGAUUACUCCAUGUUGCUGCUUCUGUUACGGUUGAGUUUUAUUCAGCCAUUUAAGAUCUAAAACAUGAGAAGAUGUUUGUCUUACCUGCAUAUAAUAUGUAUUUAGCCUAGCAGAUCGGUAUGUACAAAAGAGGACGUGUAAAUCAAGUAUUUUGUGGUAUGUUCAUCAAAGGAAUUAAUUUUACACAAUGCAAGAGUGAAAUGGGAGAGAUGUUUCUAGAUGAUUAAAUACUGAACAUUCAUAAUAUUUCUUUGUAUGAAGAAAUAAAUAAAAG
ensembl:lncRNA